GAGAGAGGUAUAAAACAAUAAGAACUGCUAAUUCUUAGCCCCGCAGUUAA
rnacentral:tRNA from 1 species